rnacentral:sRNA from 1 species
ACCUGUAAAGGUUCUUGCUCCAACACUGCAUCAUCACAAAAAGCAAUUUGAAGAGGAAAAAAAAUCAAAAGGAUUGCAAAGGGAAAGUUUCGGUACAAAGAUUGACUAGGAAAAACGUGCCUCUGAGAAAUUUUUUGUAGUUCCAUUUGGUUGCAGGAUGUAGA